rnacentral:ncRNA from 2 species
CACAGCUUGUCGGGGUGCCAAGGAUGUUUCGUAAGGAAUGCCAAGGCUGAGAUCGCAGUCUGCGAGACCCGCUGAACCUGAUCGGGGUCAUCCCCGCGUAGGGAACAACGCAAUUGGCUCC